rnacentral:lncRNA from 1 species
AGCCAGGUGGCAUUGCAGUGGGAUGCUGCUGCAUCCCUUGGUGUCCCCGUGCUGUGGUACCACAGGUCCAGGCUCACCCCACGGUCUGCAUCCCAGGUGCUGCUGCAGAGUUGGAGACCUCCAUCAGCACUAAUUGGUGGCAGUAGCUAAUUGGCUCCCAGUUGUGUGAGCUGGGGGACCUCAUGGGGACAGUUGAACACUUUUCCCCAUUAAAUGCUCCUUGUUUGGUGACAGAAGCAGCCCCACAGAGCACGGUGGGGCCCAUGUGAGUCUCUGGGGUGGGAAUGCUGUGCAGAGGGUUUUUGGGGGCUCUUUCCCAGCUCCUCCCCAGCACCACACAGACCCCAAACCCUUUGUCAUCCCGCAGUGCUGCUCACAGCCCUCCUCACCCUCCUCAUUCCACAGCCUGGGUCUCAUUGGGGCCACCUUUAUUAGCCUUUUUAUUUUAAUUUUCUCCAAAAAACAGUGGUUGCAGGAUUGGGUUUGCAGCAGUGGUGAUGUGAGGAAGGCCGGGGGAAGGAUGAGGGUGACAUCAGGGGACAUCCCGAGCCCCGAGGAGACGAAGCUUUGCCCAAAGAAUGGGCCAGUUGCUGGUGCUGCUGUUGGUUUCCUACUUGUGGUUUUCAGUCUUUUUUUUUUUUUUGAAUUCUUGAGCUGUUUAUUUCAUAUCAGAGUUCUUGCAGUGAUGCUCCUGGUGCUGCUCAGUGUGUGAAUGUGGCCCUGUUGUGCACUGCUCUGGUUUGGGGCCACCCUAAGUGACCGUCCCCAUGCGUCGACCUCAAAUCAAAGCCUCAGUGCCCAAGGAGCUCUUCCCAUUCCCCAAAACCUCAGUGCUGUGCGUCCUUCCUGGAGCUGCUGCUGCUAGGUGAUGGCUGGGGAAGCCCCAUUGUGGCCAAGGCUCUUCUCAUCCCAAAUCUUGUGUUCCUAUCCCAAUUCCAGGGUUUCUAUUUGAAUUCCCGGUUUCCAAUCCCAAUUCCUAGGUUCCCCUCUCACUUCCUGAGGUUCCCAUCUCAAUUUCUGUGCUCCUAUCCCAAUUCCUGGAUUCCCAUCCCAAUUCCUGCAUUUCCAUCUCACUUCCUGGUGAUCCAUCUUAAUUUUUGUAUGCUCAAUUCAAUUCUUGCAUUCCCAUCCUGGUUCCUGGAUUUCGUUUCACUUCCUGGCAUUGCUAUCUCACUUCUGGUGUUCCCAUCUCAAUCUCUGCUCUUAGUUCAAUUCUUGCAUUCCCAUUCCUAUUCCCAGUGUUUCCAUCCCAGUUCCAGGUUCCUGAAGUUCCCAUCCCAGUUCCUGGGUUGUUGACCCCAGUUCACAAGGGUUUGUCCCCAGUUCCUGAGCUUGCUCAGCCCCAGGGACUGGAGCGAGCCUGAAAGCCAGACAAAGGCAUGGAGCUGCUCAUGUGUAUGGGGGUCUCUGAGUAUGGGAUAAGGGUUCUCAUCCCCCCCUUGCACUCAAAUCCUCCUCCAUUCUCUCGUUCUUCACACCAGCCCUGUGCC